rnacentral:rRNA from 1 species
UCAAGCUACUAAGGGCAUACGGUGGAUGCCUAGGCGCCAGGAGCCGAAGAAGGACGCGGUAAGCUGCGAAAAGCCACGGGGAACUGCAAGCGAGUAUUGAUCCGUGGAUAUCCGAAUGGGGAAACCCGGCCAUCGUAAUGGAUGGUCAUCCGCAAGGAAGGGAACCCGGGGAACUGAAACAUCUAAGUACCCGGAGGAAAAGAAAUCAAACGAGAUGCCCACAGUAGCGGCGAGCGAAGAGGGCAGAGCCCAAACCUGUAAGCUACGGCUUAUGGGGGUUGAGGACUGACGUAAUUAAGGCCAGGCUUAGCUGAACUACCUGGGAAGGUAGGCGAUAGAAGGUAAGAGCCCUGUAAGCGAAAGGCAGAGCCUUAAGGUCAGUAUCCAGAGUACCACGGAGCACGAGGAAUUCUGUGGGAAGCAGGGGGGACCACCCUCCAAGGCUAAAGACUAACUGGCGACCGAUAGCGCAUAGUACCGUGAGGGAAAGGUGAAAAGAACCCCGGGAGGGGAGUGAAAUAGUACCUGAAACCGUAUGUCUACAAGCAGUCGGAGCGAAAUGCGCGACGGCGUGCCUAUUGAAGAAUGAACCAACGAGUUAUCUGCACUAGCGAGGUUAAGUGGAAGACACGGAGCCGCAGCGAAAGCGAGUCUGAAAAGGGCGGAUAGUUAGUGUAGGUAGACCCGAAACCGCAGUGAUCUACCCAUGUCCAGGUUGAAGCGCAGGUAAAAAUGCGUGGAGGACCGAACCGGUGAGCGUUGAAAAGCUUUCGGAUGAGAUGUGGGUAGGGGUGAAAUUCCAAUCGAACGUGGAGAUAGCUGGUUCUCCCCGAAAUAGCUUUAGGGCUAGCCUCAGGUAGUAAGUAUAGGCGGUAGAGCACUGAUCGGGCUAGGGGCCAUAAAGGUUACCGAACCCUGUCAAACUCCGAAUGGAUAUACUGCAAAGCCUGGGAGUCAGACUACGAGUGAUAAGAUCCGUGGUCAAAAGGGAAACAGCCCAGACCACCGGCUAAGGUCCCAAAUGCCGUACUAAGUGGAAAAGGAUGUGGGGAUUCAUAAACAACCAGGAUGUUGGCUCAGAAGCAGCCACCAUUUAAAGAGUGCGUAAUAGCUCACUGGUCGAGAGUCCCUGCGCCGAAAAUUUCCGGGGCUAAAGUACGGAACCGAAGCCGUGGCUGUGUACUUAGGUGCACGGGGUAGGGGAGCGUUGCCACAGGGGUGAAGCUGGUCUGGAAGGACUGGUGGACUUGUGGGAAGUGAGAAUGUUGGUAUGAGUAGCGAAAAGAAAGGUGAGAAUCCUUUCCACCGAAAGCAUAAGGAUUCCUGAGCAACGAUCGUCGUCUCAGGGUAAGUCGGGACCUAAUCCGAGGCAAAGAGCGUAGGAGAUGGACAACAGGUUGAUAUUCCUGUACCGGCAGCAAUUGUUUGAGCGAAGGAGUGACACAGAAGGGCAGGCAGGCGCGAGACUGGAUUGUCGCGUGCAAGCGUGUAGGGUAGUGUACAGGCAAAUCCGUACACUGAGAGCCUGAGGCGUUACGCGGAGCGAGCAGAGAUGCGAGCGAAGUGACUGAUCCCACACUGUCGAGAAAAGCUUCUAGUGAGAGAGCUGCCGCCCGUACCGUAAACCGACACAGGUAUGCGGGGAGAGAAUCCUAAGGUGCGCGGGAGAACCCUCGUUAAGGAACUCGGCAAAAUGUACCCGUAACUUCGGGAUAAGGGUAGCCGUCUUGGUGAAGGAGCUUGCCUCUGGAGCUAAAGGCGGUCGCAGAGAAGAGGCCCAAGCGACUGUUUACCACAAACACAGGUGCCUGCUAAAGCGAAAGCUGAUGUAUAGGUGCUGACACCUGCCCAGUGCUGGAAGGUUAAGGAAGGAUGUCCGGGCAACCAAAGCAUUCGACCGAAGCCCCAGUGAACGGCGGCCGUAACUAUAACGGUCCUAAGGUAGCGAAAUUCCUUGUCGGGUAAGUUCCGACCCGCACGAAAGGUGUAACGAUUUGGGCACUGUCUCAACGAGGGACCCGGUGAAAUUGAAAUACCUGUGAAGAUGCAGGUUACCCGCGACUGGACAGAAAGACCCCAUGGAGCUUUACUGUAACCUGACAUUGGGUUUUGUUGUAUUACGUACAGGAUAGGUGGGAGGCUUAGAAGGCUGGACGCUAGUCUGGCUGGAGCCGUCGUUGGGAUACCACCCUUGAUACAACGGAAUUCUAACCGAGAGAGUAACGAAAUCCGGGACAGUGUCAGGCGGGCAGUUUGACUGGGGCGGUCGCCUCCGAAAGAGUA